CGGGUGAGUAACACGUAUGCAAUCCACCUGUAACAGGGGGAUAACCCGGAGAAAUCCGGACUAAUACCCCAUAAUAUGGGCGCUCCGCAUGGAGAGCCCAUUAAAGAGAGCAAUUUUGGUUACAGACGAGCAUGCGCUCCAUUAGCCAGUUGGCGGGGUAACGGCCCACCAAAGCGACGAUCAGUAGCCGACCUGAGAGGGUGACCGGCCACAUUGGGACUGAGACACGGCCCAA
rnacentral:rRNA from 1 species